UAUGCCUACGGGGGGCAGCAGUGGGGAAUAUUGGGCAAUGGGCGCAAGCCUGACCCAGCAACGCCGCGUGAAGGAAGAAGGCUUUCGGGUUGUAAACUUCUUUUAUCAGGGACGAAGCAAGUGACGGUACCUGAUGAAUAAGCCACGGCUAACUACGUGCCAGCAGCCGCGGUAAUACGUAGGUGGCAAGCGUUAUCCGGAUUUACUGGGUGUAAAGGGCGUGUAGGCGGGAGUGCAAGUCAGAUGUGAAAACUA
rnacentral:rRNA from 1 species